GAUGAACGCUGGCGGCGUGCCUAAUACAUGCAAGUCGAACGCACAGCGAAAGGUGCUUGCACCUUUCAAGUGAGUGGCGAACGGGUGAGUAACACGUGGACAACCUGCCUCAAGGCUGGGGAUAACAUUUGGAAACAGAUGCUAAUACCGAAUAAAACUCAGUGUCGCAUGACACAAAGUUAAAAGGCGCUUUGGCGUCACCUAGAGAUGGAUCCGCGGUGCAUUAGUUAGUUGGUGGGGUAAAGGCCUACCAAGACAAUGAUGCAUAGCCGAGUUGAGAGACUGAUCGGCCACAUUGGGACUGAGACACGGCCCAAACUCCUACGGGAGGCUGCAGUAGGGAAUCUUCCACAAUGGGCGAAAGCCUGAUGGAGCAACGCCGCGUGUGUGAUGAAGGCUUUCGGGUCGUAAAGCACUGUUGUAUGGGAAGAACAGCUAGAAUAGGGAAUGAUUUUAGUUUGACGGUACCAUACCAGAAAGGGACGGCUAAAUACGUGCCAGCAGCCGCGGUAAUACGUAUGUCCCGAGCGUUAUCCGGAUUUAUUGGGCGUAAAGCGAGCGCAGACGGUUGAUUAAGUCUGAUGUGAAAGCCCGGAGCUCAACUCCGGAAUGGCAUUGGAAACUGGUUAACUUGAGUGCAGUAGAGGUAAGUGGAACUCCAUGUGUAGCGGUGGAAUGCGUAGAUAUAUGGAAGAACACCAGUGGCGAAGGCGGCUUACUGGACUGUAACUGACGUUGAGGCUCGAAAGUGUGGGUAGCAAACAGGAUUAGAUACCCUGGUAGUCCACACCGUAAACGAUGAACACUAGGUGUUAGGAGGUUUCCGCCUCUUAGUGCCGAAGCUAACGCAUUAAGUG
rnacentral:rRNA from 1 species